rnacentral:tRNA from 2 species
CGCCCUUAGCUCAGUUGGAUAGAGCAUCGGUUUACGAAACCGAGGGCCUGGCGUUCGAAUCGCUCCAGGCGCGCG